AGAUUCAGAAGUGUUCCAUUUAUUUAUUCUCUGUACCAUUUUCUUUACCUUUCUUCUGUUAGCGUUCCAAGAGAGGAAACAAAAAGGACUGCCAUUCAGUCCAGGACCAGACUGAGAUUCCCUCUACUGAUGGACAUUGCAUAGCUCCAGUUGGAGAGGUUUCUCCCUCCAUAUCUCAGCCUGUCAAAAAACGAUCCUUGAUUGUCAGGGUCUUUUCAGCAAUGAUGAAGCCAUUCAGGCGCUUCACCAAGAAGAACCUGUAACCUGUUACGCUGCAUGAAGAACUACUUUUGUAACAGCAAGACUUUUGACAAGAGAAAUUUCUGCAUGUCUAACCUUUCAAAGUCUAUUUGAUCAAAUAAAUGGCAAUGAUUUUACAAGACUUUCAAGUGUUUUGGAAGAUUGAUAAUACUGAAGCAGAUUUUCUCAGAGAAAUGCACUAGUUCCCCCUUGGUUACACAUUUAUUGUUCAGCUUUUGAGUUGGCAGGACAUAGGGCGUCAGGUAGCCUUGUGGUUAGAGCAUUGGGCCAGUAACCGAAAGGUUGCUAGCGUCAGAUCCCUGAGCUGGCCAUGUAAAAAUAUGUCGUUCUGCUCCUGAACAAGGUAGUUAACCCACUGUUCCUAAGCUGUCAUUGUAAAUAAGAAUUUGUUCUAAACUGACUUGUCUAGGAAAAUAAAUAAAAUAACCACAGCUUGACUCUAAUACAAUAGUUGCUGCAUAGACUGUCAGAUAACCAGAUGUUCUCUAUUAAUUUAGUUAGAUUGGUAAGAGCUUAUUAGCAGCAAGGGGAAAACACAUAGAGGAGAAUUAGCUAUCUGCAGCUAGAUCAACCCUCUGAGAUGCUUUCUAUAUUUUUUUUAUAUUUUUUUUUGUUUCACCUUUAUUUAACCAGGUAGGCAAGUUGAGAACAAGUUCUCAUUUACAAUUGCGACCUGGCCAAGAUAAAGCAAAGCAGUUCGACACAUACAACGACACAGAGUUACACAUGGAGUAAAACAAACAUACAGUCAAUAAUACAGUAUAAACAAGUCUAUAUACGAUGUGAGCAAAUAAGGUGAGAUAAGGGAGGUAAAAGGCAAAAAAAGGCCAUGGUGGCAAAUACAAUAUAGCAAGUAAAACACUGGAAUGGUAGAUUUGCAGUGGAAGAAUGUGCAAAGUAGAAGUAAAAAAUAAUGGGGUGCAAAGGAGCUAAAUAAAUAAAUAAAAUAAAAUAAAUACAGUAGGGAAAGAGGUAGUUGAUUGGGCUAAAUUAUAGGUGGGCUAUGUACAGGUGCAGUAAUCUGUGAACUGCUCUGACAGUUGGUGCUUAAAGCUAGUGAGGAAGAUAAGUGUUUCCAGUUUCAGAGAAUUUUUGUAGUUCGUUCCAGUCAUUGGCAGCAGAGAACUGGAAGGAGAGGUGGCCAAAGAAAUAAUUGGUUUUGGGGGUGACCAGAGAGAUAUACCUGCUGGAGUGCGUGCUACAGGUGGGUGAUGCUAUGGUGACCAGCGAGCUGAGAUAAGGGGGGACUUUACCU
rnacentral:lncRNA from 1 species